GGCGUAGGGCGCGAGCGUUGUCCGGAUUUAUUGGGCGUAAAGAGCUCGUAGGCGGCUUGUCGCGUCGAAUGUGAAAUCUCAGGGCUCAACUCUGACAUUGCAUUCGAUACGGGCAGGCUCGAGUUCGGUAGGGGAGACUGGAAUUCCUGGUGUAGCGGUGAAGUGCGCAGAUAUCAGGAGGAACACCGGUGGCGAAGGCGGGUCUCUGGGCCGAUACUGACGCUGAGGAGCGAAAGCGUGGGGAGCGAACAGG
rnacentral:rRNA from 1 species